GACGAACGCUGGCGGCGUGCUUAACACAUGCAAGUCGAACGGAAAGGCCCUGCUUUUGUGGGGUGCUCGAGUGGCGAACGGGUGAGUAACACGUGAGUAACCUGCCCUUGACUUUGGGAUAACUUCAGGAAACUGGGGCUAAUACCGGAUAGGAGCUCCUGCUGCUUGGUGGGGGUUGGAAAGUUUCGGCGGUUGGGGAUGGACUCGCGGCUUAUCGGCUUGUUGGGGGGGUAGUGGCUUACCAAGGCUUUGGCGGGUAGCCGGCCUGAGAGGGUGACCGGCCACAUUGGGACUGAGAAACGGCCCAGACUCCUACGGGAGGCAGCAGUGGGGAAUAUUGCACAAUGGGCGGAAGCCUAAUGCAGCAACGCCGCGUGCGGGAUGACGGCCUUCGGGUUGUAAACCGCUUUCGCCUGUGACGAAGCGUGAGUGACGGUAAUGGGUAAAGAAGCACCGGCUAACUACGUG
rnacentral:rRNA from 1 species